rnacentral:snoRNA from 1 species
UGGCGAUGAUGAGACAUUCUUGGGGUUGAACUUCAUUGAAAUAAAAACAAGUGUUCUGAGCCAUUA